rnacentral:rRNA from 1 species
UACGUAGGAUGCAAGCGUUGUCCGGAUUUACUGGGUGUAAAGGGUGCGCAGGCGGAGAAGUAAGUCAGAGGUGAAAGCCUACAGCUCAACUGUAGAACUGCCUUUGAUACUGCUUCCCUUGAGUAUGGUAGAGGUCGGCGGAAUUCCCGGUGUAGCAGUGAAAUGCGUAGAUAUCGGGAGGAACACCAGUGGCGAAGGCGGCCGGCUGGACCAUAACUGACGCUCAUGCACGAAAGUGUGGGGAUCAAACAGG